GUGCUUUGGGUCAUUGUCAUGUUGGAACACCCAGCCACGACCCAUCUUCAGUGCUCUGACUGAGGGAAGGAGGUUUUUGGCCAAGAUCUCGCGAUACAUGGCUCCGUUAUCCUCCCCUCAGUGUGGUGCAGUCGUCCGGUCCCCUGUGCAGAAAAGCAUCCCCAAAGCAUAUGUUUCCACCUCCGUGCUUCACAGUAGGGAUGGUGUUACUGGGGUUGUACUCAUCCUUCUUCUUCCUCCAAACACGGCAUGUGAAGUUCAGACCAUAAGGUUUUUUUUUUUUUGUUGA